GGAGAGGCUAAAUUUAUCCACGAGUUUAAACGUUUGGAGACCAUGCACACUUAAUUCUCAGUGAGGAUGGUCCUGCUGAAACAGGAGCGGAGAGGAAGCAUAGCCUGUUGGACUGCGGAGGGAGCUGUGGGCUUCUGCAGCCCUCUCUGCUCCUCUGACGCCCACUUGGCAGUUGCCCUGGACUUGACUGUGGCCCUGUAAUGGAUGUGACAUCGUCUGCCCCCUAGCAGGAAAGCUGGCAGCCUCCUCUGACUGGUGGUCACUGGCCUAGCCCUUUACUGGAAGCUGGUUAGAAAGGACACUUCGGCUGUUCCCUGGAACUGGCUGCUCAAAAUAACUCCUCCUCAGCUGGUUGGACUGAAGCGGGUCAACGAGACCACCAGAUAGCUUCAGUGCAUCCCUGCGUGCUUCUGACUGACUGCCCUGUGGAGGGGGUGGGACCAACUGGUUCACUCAGCACAGCCCCUACCACUGUAUAAGGAUAUGCCAUGGUUCACCCUUGUGGGUCCGGUUACCCAGCUCCUCACCCACUUGCUCGGGACCUAUAUUUAAACACGGCCAGCAUGGAAUGAGUACAUGUCUCCCUAGUUCCCCAACCCAGAAGGUUUCUCCGAGAGCUAGGGUGUCGUCGGUGAGACGUUAUCUAAUUUGCCUCCUGUCUGAAUUGCAGAAAACAUCUUCAAUACUCGAUUUCUCACGGGAUAAUUGGGUCACAUCCCGAGAGCUCAGCUGGACUGCACUAACCUCUGCUGCCUUGGAAUGCUGUGCUCCGCUACUGGUUUUCUCAAAGACUCUGGAAAAGACAGCACGGUGCUCUCCUAUAGUGUGCAUACUCUAAGUGGCAAGCUUCUGAGUUUCAAGCUUCCUGCUUCUUCAGCUCUUAACAAACCUGCUUGGAAGCUAUCGAGAAAGAUUAUGGGACAUGCGAGUGAAUUUGCAAGUGCUUACUGGUGCCGCCCAGGUCAUACUGAAGAGGAACAGUCCAACAGACACAGCCUGCAUCGUCACACGGCUCUCUGAAAGAUAGCAAGAACCUGUCUGAGCAGUGCCAGCUAUGCAUUGCAGACUCGAAGGCAUGUACAUGCAGACAACCCUCCCGCAUAAGUUCAUUUCCCUUUGAUAUAUAGAAUUACAUCCCUCAUAUGUACAUCCUAUCGAAUUAGCAUUUGCAUAAAUGUAUGUGCUUUUCACAAUUAGUUCAUAGUCAGGGUUAAUCUAUUAAUCUCUAUUUCAUUGCUGAUUACUCUCGUGCAAAAAUAAAAAUAUUGACUAUAAUUAAUCCAAUAAUCAAUUCAUGGAAAUUAAUUUUAUAGACACAUUUAUUUAUUUACUCUACUGGUGACCUGACAUUUUCCCUUAGAAAAAAAGCAUUGUUAAGUGCUUUUAUAAUUGAAAGUUACAGUAAGGGAGCCUACCAGGUCAUACCUGAAUCACUAAGUGUGCCAAAUGGCAGAUACAGAGGUGAGGAAUAGAAUCUUACCAACACCAGGCUGGUACCCCAAUGUAUAUCAUUAUAUUUGUUAGCACAAUGUCUGAACUAGUCACUGCGUAGGGGACAAAGGAAGAAACUGCUGAAGCAAGCUUUACUAUAAGUAAAAGCAUUUACUAAGUAUUUAAACGAGCUGAGCACCAUUCUACGUUUACUCGUGUAUUUAUUUAUUUGCAUCCUGCCACAGCCUAAUGAACCAGGUGGCUUAAUCGUUUCAUAGACUAGAAAACAUACUCAAAAAGGUCACAUGACACGCCCCACCCUUCAUGAAUAUGAAGAAGCAGAACUGGGUUUGGUAUUCCGGCAAAGUGACUGCAGAACCAGUGCUCCUGACCCAGACUCUGCAUCACCUCAAGUAAGUUCCCACUCCUCUGUCUUAUUAAAGAGAAAGCUACGUGCAGUCAACCUAAAGAAGACCCUAUGGUAUAGAACGUUCAGCAGACAAAUCUUUGGAACAGUAGCAUUUGGUUGCUGAUUAAAGCAGGCCUGGUCUCACUAUGAUCUCAGAAGCUCGGCUAACUCAGGUAGCCAUCACACUGAAAAAUUACCAGCACAACUCUGGACAGCAUCCGUUGGUCCUGAUGCCAGUGCUUACUUACCGCCAUAGAAACACGCAAAACCAAUAUGAAAAUAAUAAUAAUAAUAAUGCGGUUUGUUGGAAGAAAAUCUACUCAAUGAGGAAAGGCAGUUUUUACAGCAUUCAAACAUUUCAUAGGAAGACUUUCACUCAGCAAACAGUGUAGUUAAGGUGUAUGGUAAAACUGUAAGCUCUAACCGUCCUCCUAAACGUUAUCUUUAGGAUCCACAUCUAAACUCAAGCAAUAACUUUGGCCUCUAAGUAUUGCAGGAAGGGCAGUCUUUUAUCAUUCAUCAAAUAGCUCAAUGCUGGUAGAUGCAUCAGCGGAGGAAAUAUCUGUAAAGAAAACCGCAAGUGGCUUGUCCUGCAUCUGGUUUGUAAAAUGAUGCAGUCUCAGUUAAUACAGAUCUUGGUGAUACUGGCUGUCAGCUCACAGGACACUUGCAAGGCAUGGAGUUCCAAGAACGAUCUCUAGUGUAGAGUAGCUCUCCCCACCUAUUGUACAGAAUAGAGCUCCAAAUCCAGACGAUCAUGUAAUUUUCACUUAUUUUCAAUAUCCUUAGCAGGAUGGCGAGGCUCCUGAAAGCUUAAAAAGCUAGCACUUCUGACAGAAAGCAAUUCUCCACGAGGGGCAGCGAGAGAUAAAUUACCUGGUGUCGUUCACCUUCAAGGAAGCUUGGCUUCUUCGGGUUUAGCAGUCUCUGGGCAUUUGCUGAAAUUUAAAGAUUGUUAGAGCCUCCGAUGUCCAAUCAGCAUGACUCACUCAGUACCAGCACGGAGUCUGUCACAAAUGCCCACAGAUGACCACAGGGGGUAAAGUAAUUUUAAUCUAAAAAUGUUUCUGUGGCGGAAAGCUGCUAUCAAAUGUUCCAGAAAGUAGAAUAAACAGAAAAAUAAAAAUAUCUCAGCUUGGGCAUUAUGCUACAAAAUAAUUACAAUUGAUUUCAGAACUAUUAACUAGGACUGGGUGAAUGGCUUGCAUAUUAAGUAGAAAAUAUUCGUAAACCAACAAAUUUAUAAAUGGAAAGUAUUUUUAUUGUUUUAUUUAGAAAAUGGACAACAUAAAUUAUGUCUGAAUCUUGUUCAGACAGCAAUGGUGUUUGAGCACCGACUAUAGGGCAGCCAUUAGAGAGGCUUCAGCAAAUUAAAGAGAAAAUAAUCCUGUCUCAUGGGGCUCACUAUCUAAUGAGGAAAAUAGACCGAGGACUACAUCGUGUUAGACAGUGACACAGAUGAACUUCAAGCAGAUACACUCAGGAGGAGAUCUCAAGCACUGGGUGUAAGGACACUCGGCUGAAGUUUUACACAGAGAAUCCUGGGAUGGCCUCACUGAGAAGGUGUCUUUUCAGUAAAGUCCUCGCUACGGCUUACAUGUGUGUAUUGCUCCAAAAUCCAUAUCUUGCAAAUAAAACUCCCACGUGAUGGUAUUAAGGCAGGGCUUGUGCAAUCUAAGUCGUUGGGUGAGAAUCUCCAUGAGCAAGAGUAACAGCUUUAGAAAGGCUAAAGGAAAAGACCUCGAGCCUUCUGCAUUCCGCCGCUCUGCCAUGUGAGCGCACAGCUUUCACCCCACCCGACCCAACCCCAACUACUAUGGCAGCCUAAAGAUGAAAUAACAAGCAAGACGCCAUCUUGGAAGGCGAGUAAUUAUCUUGUUCCAAACAGUGAACUUUAUGUUAAGCUUCCCAGCCUCCAAAGCCACAAGAACCCAAGACAGUGAAGUAUCAACCUUUGCUCUCUCUAGAUUACCACCUCUGGGGGAUUCUGUUACAGUAGCAUAGACUAAGACAGAAUGUAGCCACAUGGCUCUACAUAGGGCAUUCCACAGAGAAGUUCUAGGAACAGCCAGCUCCGCUAACAGGGGCCUGAUGGCUUAUUCCAGCAAGUAGCCAGACAGCAGUUAGCCUGCUCAGGGCCAGGCGCCUGCAGGGUGAAGCCCUGAGUGGUGAAGCCCUGAGUGGUGAAGCCGCUGCAGAGUUGGGUACCGAGCUGAGGGAUGACUCACUUGCCAACUUUACAUAAGGCCUGGGAUUCAGUCUCAGCACUACUAAAUAAAAGCAAAUAGUUAAAAAUGAACGAAUUAAUUAAUUUAAUUCAAUUCCAGGUCGUGAAAACUACUAGAGGUUUGUGCAGAGCUGAUGUUGAAGGAACGAAGCCGGGACAGAGGAGCAAAGGCAGCCUGGAGAGGCAGAGCCCGGGUGAACAGCGUUCUAUUCCGCGUGUUUUCACGGGAAGGCAACAGGAAUGGUCUGCACCAGGCAAACUCAGGGCAGGGAGACUGCAGUGUCAGGAUGGACUCAGGAUUUCGCCUUGCAAUGGGAAACCUAAAGUUGCUCUUUUAUUGAAAUAGGAUAAUAUUCAAAAGAUACUUUUGAGGAUGAGUUUGUGGGUUUGAAUUUGGAUGAAGAUUUUUAUUAAAUGGUCAACGUAGGGCGCUGAGUCCUUUUUUUCCUGUGGUAGGAGCUAAAACUGAAUUGCAAUUCGUGUUUGUAAUAGUUAGGGAGUGUUCAUCUGGUCUAAAAAUAUAGUCGCGCCUACUAGGAUGACUCACGCUAGGCUUACGUGUAAAUCGCCCAAUAAAAGAUUAUGAAAGUUUUAAAACACACUUUAUGAUAUGGGCUACUUAAGUGUAACCAGCUUUAUGACUAAUUAUAAAUAAUAUGUAAUAAAUUUUAACUCUGAUUUCCCCCAACUCAAAUAGGAUGGGCAAAAUUAAAAUAAUACAAAGAUUUAAAAGCAGAAAAUAAUGAGUAACAUAUUAGUGGCACAGUUCUGGUUUGGGGAACGAGAGCUUGUCUAGUUUAAGCCAAAUCCUCCUUGUUUUAUUCAAUUACAUCGGCUUCUCUUCCGAGGAUCCCGAGCUGACUUUAAAGACUUAGAAGAAUUUCAAGCCGCUGUGUAAGAACCACAGUUGACUCAAACCAUGUAGCUGAACUUUACAAUACUGGAUCUAUCGUUGGCGGUGAAGACUUUUAACCGGAAAAGCCGUGUGGUCAGGAGAUCAAACCCAGCUCUAGUCGGGGGAUAAGUUGUUUUAACAGCUAAACGGAGGCUUUUCAACCUCCUUUUCUCAAACCAAGUGUUAUUCUAAGAAAUUUAGUACUUGUAAGAAUUCUGAUGUGGAUGAUAUUACUUUCACCAUAGCUUUUGGUGAUGAAGCACAGAGUGACUCUCUUUAGACGUUUCUUAAAGUCACAUAACCAACAAAGAAAGGCCAGGAGUAGCACAGGCAAUUUUGGCUAAUUGAGGCAGGAUGCUAUACGUCAGCAUGAACAUUGCCAAAUUCUGUGAGAUGCUUAGGCCACUGUCUGCUGUCUCGUCUGUUGUUACCAUUACUAACAACUGUCUGGGACCCAGGUAGAGUGGGCAUGCUAAUGUUUCUGACCCAUCCUGCUGGUUCCCUUAUUCUACGGUUUAUCUAAUAAGAGCACAAAAUCAGACAGACAGGGGAGGGGGAAGGGGGAGAGAGAGACAGAGAGAGAGAGAGACAGAGGAACUGGAGGUAUAUUUCUCUAGAUAUUACACAAUCCAUGCUUCCAGCUCCAUCAGCACUGAGGAUCUGGGUGACAAGAGACAAAAUUAAUAAGGAAAUGGAAGUCAAAACCAGAAAGGCAACAAGCAAAAGAAAAUCAAAUGCAAACAGCAAGGGGAGAGGAAGGGGGAAAGAGAGGUAAAAAUGCACAUUUGGGACCUUAGAUGUUUUGCUAAACCAACGAUCAGUUCAAAGAUUUUACAACUAACAGGUCACUCAGCAUUUCAUGCUUCUACACCGGGUGUAGCAUUGGUGAUUCAUGCAGGAUGCUCCACUUGUGCCUCGUAUAUAACAUAGACAUAAAAUGGCAUUUUCAUUGCUAUAACCUUAUAAAGAAUUCCAUAGAUUAGCAAA